rnacentral:tRNA from 1 species
GGUCUUAUAUUCAUGAAUGAUAUUAGAAUGCAAUUCUAAAGGUGUAAACAAAUUAAGAGUACUAAGACUU